rnacentral:lncRNA from 1 species
CUAGUUAACACUGAGUUAACCUAUCGAGUGGCCUUUGGAGGACUAGACUGCUUAAAUCACGAUGACCUUGAUGAUGAUGAUGAUGAUGAUAAUGAUGAUGACGAUGAUUCCUUGAGCAAUAUCUCCUCCUCUGUGUCUUUGGCAUUAGGAAGAGUGGAUAAAAAGGACACAUCUCCACUUGGAGAGGAAGUGAGAAGCAAGGCUACUUCUGUAGGGGGUCACUCCCUGGUCCUUCUAGCCUGCCCUGUGCACAGGUUGAGGACAGUCCUGUGGCUGGAGAAAGCUGGAUCUGAAGGUUGUAGAAACUUGCAGAAAGAAGCCAUCAAAGUGACUUGGAAAGGAAGAAGAAAGCUUCUGUGCCAAUUGUAGUCAGAGGAGCUGGAACACCUG